GAUGAAGAACGUAGCGAAAUGCGAUAAGUAAUGUGAAUUGCAGAAUUCAGUGAAUCAUCGAAUCUUUGAACGCACAUUGCGCCCCUUGGUAUUCCGAGGGGCAUGCCUGUUCGAGCGUCAUUAUAACCCUCAAGCUCAGCUUGGUGUUGGGGCCUGCUGCACUGGCAGCCCUUAAAAUCAGUGGCGGCGCCAUCUGGCUCUAAGCGUAGUAAUUCUUCUCGCUAUGGAGUCCUGGUGGAUGCUUGCCAUCAACCCCCAAUUUUUCUAUGGUUGACCUCGGAUCAGGUAGGGAUACCCGCUGAACUUAAGCGUAUCAAUAAGCGGAGGA
rnacentral:misc_RNA from 1 species